UACGUAGGGUGCAAGCGUUAAUCGGAAUUACUGGGCGUAAAGCGUGCGCAGGCGGUUAUGUAAGACAGUUGUGAAAUCCCCGGGCUCAACCUGGGAACUGCAUCUGUGACUGCAUAGCUAGAGUACGGUAGAGGGGGAUGGAAUUCCGCGUGUAGCAGUGAAAUGCGUAGAUAUGCGGAGGAACACCGAUGGCGAAGGCAAUCCCCUGGACCUGUACUGACGCUCAUGCACGAAAGCCAGGGGAGCGAACGGG
rnacentral:rRNA from 1 species